AGCGAACGCUGGCGGCAGGCCUAACACAUGCAAGUCGAACGAACCUUUCGGGGUUAGUGGCGGACGGGUGAGUAACACGUGGGAACGUGCCUUUAGGUUCGGAAUAACCCAGGGAAACUUGUGCUAAUACCGAAUGUGCCCUUCGGGGGAAGGAUUUAUCGCCUUUAGAGCGGCCCGCGUCUGAUUAGCUAGUUGGUUGAGGUAAUGGCUCACCAAGGCGACGAUCAGUAGCUGGUCUGAGAGGAUGAUCAGCCACAUUGGGACUGAGACACGGCCCAAACUCCUACGGGAGGCAGCAGUGGGGAAUCUUGCGCAAUGGGCGAAAGCCUGACGCAGCCAUGCCGCGUGAAUGAUGAAGGUCUUAGGAUUGUAAAAUUCUUUCACCGGGGACGAUAAUGACGGUACCCGGAGAAGAAGCCCCGGCUAACUUCGUG
rnacentral:rRNA from 1 species